AACCAAGGCAUACGAGAAGUGGGCAAAGGAAAUUUCCAAAACUGAACCACCUACAGAUCCUCUUAGAAAGAGGGGGAAAGCGAAGAAGAAGUCAGACGAUCUUCUUGCAAUCAUAUCUCAGCGCCGUAGCAAGCGAAAGGAGCAUUUUGAUUCCAUGUUUUCAUCUCUGGUGAAUAAAUAUGGUGGUGGAAUGCAGAGUUCAGAACCCAGUGAAGAAGAGUUUGAGGCUGCAAGAAAGAAACUUGAGAGCCAAAAGUCUGCCAAAAAGUCCAGGCAAAAAUAACAGGAACAUGUGAUGUAUUGGAUUAACUGUGUAUAACUUUGGUUGCUUUGAGCACUCUCUUAUGCUUCUAAUUUCGGUAGCCAAAAUUGGUGUGUUUGAUUUCCCCUUUGUUUGAAUGAUAUUUUGCGAUGACAGAUGCUCAAUGCACUCUUGGUUUGUUUC